CGGCGCCCGCACCUCCUGCCUCGCUUCAGUUGCCUGAUGCGCACCCCCUCCCCGAGCGUAGCACCGCCUCCCCGCCAUUGCCGCCGCCCUUGCCUCUCCAUUUUCUCCUCCUUCGUUCCCGUGCGGCCUCCCGCCUCGCUGCCGCCGCUUGAUGCGGCGCCCGAGCACAGUGCUGCAUCCCUGCCAUGGCCUCCGCCCCCAGCAAGCCUGAGCCUUUAUCUCUGUGCUCCCCUCCCACCUCGCUGCCUUUGUCUGAUGCGAAUCUGGGCUCGAGACUACCAUGGGCGCUGGCCCUCGACCAAGAUGAACGCAGGGCAGUGCGGAUCCCGCGUCAGGAGGGUUGCGGUGGUAGCCUUUGGGGUGAGGAAGGGCGGUGGUG
rnacentral:lncRNA from 1 species